GGGGGUCUCCCUCGUAGCAAACAAGUGCAUUAAGUUUAAGCCUUAAAUAUUCCAUUAUAC
rnacentral:tRNA from 1 species